GACGAACGCUGGCGGCGUGCUUAACACAUGCAAGUCGAACGAAGUGGCGAACGGGUGAGUAACGCGUAAUCAACCUGCCCUUCAGCGGGUUACAACAGGUGGUAACGACUGCUAAUACCGCAUACUUCAGGAGGUGUUUGCGUCUGAGUAGCUAGUUGGAGGGGUAACGGCCCACCAAGGCGAUGAUCAGUAGCCAGUCGGAGAGGAUGGACGGGCACGAUGGGACUGAGGCACGGCCCAGAAUCCUACGGGAGGCAGCAGUGGGGAAUCUUCCGCAAUGGAGGAAAGUCGGAGGAAGCAACGCCGCGGGAGUGAGGACGGCCGUCGGGGUGGAAAGCUCUGUUAAUCGGGACGCAGUACCGGAAGAAGAAGCCACGGCUAACUACGUGCCAGCAGCCGCGGUAAUAC
rnacentral:rRNA from 1 species